CAGUCGCCGCGGUAAUACGUAGGGUGCGAGCGUUAAUCGGAAUUACUGGGCGUAAAGCGUGCGCAGGCGGUUUUGUAAGACAGGCGUGAAAUCCCCGGGCUCAACCUGGGAAUGGCGCUUGUGACUGCAAAGCUAGAGUGCGGCAGAGGGGGAUGGAAUUCCGCGUGUAGCAGUGAAAUGCGUAGAUAUGCGGAGGAACACCGAUGGCGAAGGCAAUCCCCUGGGCCUGCACUGACGCUCAUGCACGAAGGCGUGGGGAGCAAACAGGAUUAGAUACCCGCGUAGUCCCUGUCUCUUAUAC
rnacentral:rRNA from 1 species